GACGAACGCUGGCGGCGUGCUUAACACAUGCAAGUCGAGCGGUAAGGCCCUUUCGGGGGUACACGAGCGGCGAACGGGUGAGUAACACGUGGGUGACCUGCCCUCAGCUCUGGGAUAAGCCUGGGGAACCGGGUCUAAUACUGGAUAUGACUCCAUGACGCAUGUUGUGGGGUGGAAAGCCUUGUGCGGCUGAGGAUGGGCCCGCGGCCUAUCAGCUUGUUGGUGGGGUGAGGCCUACCAAGGCGACGACGGGUAGCCGGCCUGAGAGGGCGACCGGCCACACUGGGACUGAGACACGGCCCAGACUCCUACGGGAGGCAGCAGUGGGGAAUCUUGCGCAAUGGGCGAAAGCCUGACGCAGCGACGCCGCGUGAGGGAUGACGGCCUCGG
rnacentral:rRNA from 1 species